AACGAACGCUGGCGGCAGGCCUAACACAUGCAAGUCGAGCGCCCUUUCGGGGGAGCGGCGGACGGGUGAGUAACGCGUGGGAAUAUGCCCUUCUCUACGGAAUAGCCUCGGGAAACUGAGAGUAAUACCGUAUACGCCCUACGGGGGAAAGAUUUAUCGGGGAAGGAUUAGCCCGCGUUGGAUUAGGUAGUUGGUGGGGUAAUGGCCUACCAAGCCGACGAUCCAUAGCUGGUUUGAGAGGAUGAUCAGCCACACUGGGACUGAGACACGGCCCAGACUCCUACGGGAGGCAGCAGUGGGGAAUCUUAGACAAUGGGGGCAACCCUGAUCUAGCCAUGCCGCGUGAGUGAUGAAGGCCUUAGGGUUGUAAAGCUCUUUCAGCUGGGAAGAUAAUGACGUACCAGCAGAAGAGC
rnacentral:rRNA from 1 species